rnacentral:rRNA from 1 species
UACAGAGGGUGCGAGCGUUGUCCGGAAUCACUGGGCGUAAAGGGCGCGUAGGUGGCGCUGCAAGUCGGUGGUGAAAGCUCGUCGCUUAACGACGAGUCGGCCAUCGAAACUGCAGGGCUCGAGCACUGUAGGGGCUAAUGGAAUUCCGGGUGUAGCGGUGAAAUGCGUAGAUAUCAGGAGGAACACCGGUGGCGAAGGCGGCUCUCUGGGACGGUACUGACGCUGAGACGCGAAAGCGUGGGGAGCGAACAGG